rnacentral:rRNA from 1 species
CAGCAGCCGCGGUAAUACGAAGGGUGCAAGCGUUAAUCGGAAUUACUGGGCGUAAAGCGUGCGUAGGCGGUUUGUUAAGUCUGUUGUGAAAUCCCCGGGCUCAACCUAGGAAUGGCAAUGGAUACUGGCAAGCUAGAGUGUGUCAGAGGAUGGCGGAAUUCCCGGUGUAGCGGUGAAAUGCGUAGAGAUCGGGAGGAACAUCAGUGGCGAAGGCGGCCAUCUGGGACAACACUGACGCUGAGGCACGAAAGCGUGGGGAGCAAACAGGAUUAGAUACCCGAGUAGUCCCUGUCUCUUAUAA